rnacentral:snRNA from 1 species
GUGUGUGCCUCGGCAGCACAUAUACUAAAAUUAAAAUGAUACAGAGAAGAUUAGCAUGGCCCCUGUGCAAGGAUGAUAUGCAAAUUCGUGAAGCAUUCCAUAUUUUU